CCGACGGUGAGGGGUGAAGCCCUGGGGCGCAAACGGGAUUAGAUACCCCGGUAGUCCAGGGUGUAAACGCUGCGGGCUUGGUGUUGGGGGUCCUUUGAGGGCGCCCAGUGCCGGAGAGAAGUUGUUAAGCCUGCUGCUUGGGGAGUACGUCCGCAAGGAUGAAACUUAAAGGAAUUGGCGGGGAGCACCGCAACGGGAGGAGCGUGCGGUUCAAUUGGAUUCAACGCCGGACAACUCACCAGGAGCGACGGUUACAUGAAGGCCAGGCUGAUGACCUUGCCUGAUUUUCCGAGAGGUGGUGCAUGGCCGUCGUCAGUUCGUACCGUAAGGCGUUCUCUUAAGUGAGAUAACGAACGAGACCCUCGCCGCUAAUUGCUA
rnacentral:rRNA from 1 species